ACCCCAGAGUUUAGAAUACCUCGGCCUCCCAGAGGUGUCUUGUUCCUUCCUUGACGCCUUCUCUGCCUCACAGUGUGCAGCCUCUCUGCUUGAAACCUGUCUCUUUCCACAGUUCUGUGCGGCAGGACCCUCUUUGAGCCAGGAGAUCCUCUGUCAUUUCCGCCGAUCACCUCCAGCUCCCCCUGCUCGUGAACCUAUGCUCACAGCUAAGACUUUGCCUUGAGUCUCAGGAGAUUUUGGACUUGGACUUUUCAACAAUUCUGGAACUGUUAAGACUUUGAGAACUCAUAGAGAUGGAGUAAAUACAUUUUGCCUAAUGAACAUUUUAGGGGCCAGGAUGGAAUUUUAUGAUUUAGAUG
ensembl:lncRNA